AACAUUUCAUUAAAAAAAGGAAAAGACAGGGACGUAUUUAAGAUAUAUUUUGGAGCUAGAAUGUAUAGCACUUGCUGACAGGCUAGAUGUGAAGAACAUGAAAAAGGAAAGAAGCAAUGACUUUUAGGCUGUUGGCUUAAGCAAUGGGGUGGAGGGUGGUGCCCAUUUCCUUUGAUGAAUAAAGGCUAGAAGAUAUUUUUUGUUUUUAAUAGGGAAAGGAUAAAAUAAAGAGGUCUGUUAUAGCAAUGCUAAAUUUGAGAUAUCAGAGACUCAGAGCUAUCAGGCAGGCAGUGGGUAAACUGAUUCAGAGAUCGAUGAAAAAAUCAAACUGGAGAUAUAAAUUUAAGAGACACCUAAAAA